CAGUCGAACGAUGAAGUCCUAGCUUGCUAGGAUGGAUUAGUGGCGCACGGGUGCGUAAUAUAUAGUUAAUCUGCCCUACACAGAGGAACAACAGUUGGAAACGGCUGCUAAUACCUCAUACUCCUAUUUAACAUAAGUUAAAUAGGGAAAGUCUUUUCGGUGUAGGAUGAGACUAUAUCGUAUCAGCUAGUUGGUAAGGUAAUGGCUUACCAAGGCUAUGACGCGUAACUGGUCUGAGAGGAUGAUCAGUCACAUUGGAACUGAGACACGGUCCAAACUCCUACGGGAGGCAGCAGUAAGGAAUAUUGCGCAAUGGGGGAAACCCUGACGCAGCAACGCCGCGUGGAGGAUGACACUUUUCGGAGCGUAAACUCCUUUUAUCAGGAAAGAAUAAUGACGGUACCUGAUGAAUAAGCACCGGCUAACUCCGUGCCAGCAGCCGCGGUAAUACGGGGGGUGCAAGCGUUACUCGGAAUCACUGGGCGUAAAGGACGCGUAGGCGGAUUAUCAAGUCUUUUGUGAAAUCUAGUGGCUUAACCACUAAACUGCUUAGGAAACUGAUAGUCUAGAGUAGGGGAGAGGUAGAUGGAAUUCUUGGUGUAGGGGUAAAAUCCGUAGAGAUC
rnacentral:rRNA from 1 species